UACGAAGGGGGCUAGCGUUGCUCGGAAUCACUGGGCGUAAAGCGCACGUAGGCGGAUUGUUAAGUCAGGGGUGAAAUCCUGGAGCUCAACUCCAGAACUGCCUUUGAUACUGGCGACCUUGAGUCCGGGAGAGGUGAGCGGAACUGCGAGUGUAGAGGUGAAAUUCGUAGAUAUUCGCAAGAACACCAGUGGCGAAGGCGGCUCACUGGCCCGGUACUGACGCUGAGGCACGAAAGCGUGGGGAGCAAACAGG
rnacentral:rRNA from 1 species